GAUGAGCGCUGGCGGCGUGCCUAAUACAUGCAAGUCGAGCGAACGGACGAGAAGCUUGCUUCUCUGAUGUUAGCGGCGGACGGGUGAGUAACACGUGGAUAACCUACCUAUAAGACUGGGAUAACUUCGGGAAACCGGAGCUAAUACCGGAUGAUAUUUUGAACCGCAUGGUUCAAAAGUGAAAGACGGUCUUGCUGUCACUUAUAGAUGGAUCCGCGCUGCAUUAGCUAGUUGGUAAGGUAACGGCUUACCAAGGCAACGAUGCAUAGCCGACCUGAGAGGGUGAUCGGCCACACUGGAACUGAGACACAGUCCAGACUCCUACGGGAGGCAGCAGUAGGGAAUCUUCCGCAAUGGGCGAAAGCCUGACGGAGCAACGCCGCGUGAGUGAUGAAGGUCUUCGGAUCGUAAAACUCUGUUAUUAGGGAAGAACAUAUGUGUAAGUAACUGUGCACAUCUUGACGGUACCUAAUCAGAAAGCCACGGCUAACUACGUG
rnacentral:rRNA from 1 species